rnacentral:rRNA from 1 species
GACGAACGCUGGCGGCGUGCCUAAUACAUGCAAGUAGAACGCUGAAGAGAGGAGCUUACUCUUCUUGGAUGAGUUGCGAACGGGUGAGUAACGCGUAGGAAACCUGCCUUGUAGCGGGGGAUAACUAUUGGAAACGAUAGCUAAUACCGCAUAACAAUGGAUGACACAUGUCAUUUAUUUGAAAGGGGCAAUUGCUCCACUACAAGAUGGACCUGCGUUGUAUUAGCUAGUAGGUGAGGUAAUGGCUCACCUAGGCGACGAUACAUAGCCGACCUGAGAGGGUGAUCGGCCACACUGGGACUGAGACACGGCCCAGACGCCUACGGGAGGCAGCAGUAGGGAAUCUUCGGCAAUGGGGGCAAGCCUGACCGAGCAACGCCGCGUGAGUGAAGAAGGUUUUCGGAUCGUAAAGCUCUGUUGUAAGUCAAGAAAGGGUGUGAGAGUGGAAAGUUCACACUGUGACGGUAGCUGACCAGAAAGGGACGGCUAACUACGUG